GUCUUAGCUCAGCGGUAGGGCAUCGGCUUUGCAAACGAAAGGUCGCAGGUUCAAUCCCUGGCAUCUCCA